UACAUGUGGGGCAAGCGUUGUUCGGAAUUACUGGGCAUAAAGGGUGCGUAGGCGGCAUGCCAAGUCAGGGGUGAAAGGUUUCGGCCCAACCGGGACAGUGCCUUUGAUACUGGCGUGCUUGAGUGCGUGAGGGGUGACUGGAACGAGUGGUGUAGCGGUGAAAUGCGUAGAUAUCACUCGGAAGGCCAACGGCGAAGGCAGGUCACUGGUACGCAACUGACGCUGAGACACGAAAGCCAGGGUAGCGAACGGG
rnacentral:rRNA from 1 species